AGAGUUUGAUCCUGGCUCAGGAUGAACGUUGGUAGCAUGCCUAACAUAUGCAAGUCGAGCGGAAAAUGGUAGCAAUAUCAUUUUUAGCGGCGUACGGGUGAGUAAUGCUUAUCUUACCUACCUUUUAGUGGGGGAUAAAAUACCGCAUACCCUUUGGCUUCGGCCAAAGGAAAGGAAGCCUUCGGGCUUUCGCUAAAUGAUGGGGAUAAGUCGCAUCAGCCGAUGAAAGUGGGGUAAUGGCCUACUGAGGCAAUGACGCGUAGCCAGGCUAAGAGGCUGAUUGGCCACAAGGGAACUGAAACACGGUCCCUACUCCUACGGGAGGCAGCAAUGGGGAAUCGUGGGCAAUGGGGGCAACCCUGACCCCAGCAAUGCUACGUGAAGGAGGAAGGUCUACGGAUUGUAAACUUCUUUACUCAGGUGUACUCCUAAAAACUUGCAUCUGAGCAAAAAGCCACGACUAACUACGUGCCAGCAGUCGCGGUAAGACGUAGGUGGCGAACGUUAUCCGGUAUUAUUGGGCGUAAAGGGUGCGUAGAUGGUCUGACAAGUUAGCGGUGGGAAAUCGAGGCUCAACCUCGUGGAAGCCGGUAAUACUGUCUGACUCGAGUACAGGAGAGGUUAACGGAACUCCAUGUGGAGCGGUAAAAUGCGUAGAUAUAUGGAAGAACAUCAAUAACGGCGAAGGCAGUUAACUAUUCUGUUACUGACAUUGAGGCACGAAAGCGUGGGGAGCAAAACGGAUUAGAUACCCUAGUAGUCC
rnacentral:rRNA from 1 species